ensembl:lncRNA
GAAAAACGCGAUCACGUGACCAAUGAGGCCGCGGGCGCGUUCUAAUUCUAGAAUCAGAACCUACGGACACACUUACAUGUAGGGGUGUGAAAGAGCGCGCGGCGAUAGAAAGUGCAGACUAAAGUUUUCAGUGAAGCCGAACGUUGCAGACGUUUUUCCAUAACUCACGUGCAGAAAUAUCUAAGCAUAAAAAGAGAGAGGAGAGAAAAGGGCUCCUGAGGAGAUCCAGGAUGGAAUGGAAUGAGCAGACUGUGCAGACAAGUACAGAGGACAGUGUAGCAAAGGAGAAGGAGGAAUGUAAGACAGCGGGAGACAUGGGAGAACCAAAGGAAGUGGAAGUCAGCUACGAGUUGGUGGAGGAGGAAGUGCAGUCGGGUUCAGAGGGAGAGCAGCAGCAGGUGCAGAGUGUGCAGACAAGUACAGAGGACAGUGUACCAAAGGAGGAAUGUAAGACAGCGGGAGAAAUGGGAGAACCAAAGGAAGUGGAAGUCAGCUACGAGUCGGUGGAGGAGGAAGUGCAGUCGGGUUCAGAGGGAGAGCAGGUGCAGAGUGUGCAGACAAGUACAGAGGACAGUGUUCCAAAGGAGAGGGAGGAAUGUAAGACAGUGGGGGACAUGGGAGAACCAAAGGAAGUGGAAGUCAGCUACGAGUCGUUGAUGGAGGAAGUGCAGUCGGGUUCAGUGGGAGAGCAGCAGCAGGUGCAGUGUGUGCAGACAAGUACAGAGGACAGUGUUCCAAAGGAGAGGGAGGAAUGUAAGACAGUGGGGGACAUGGGAGAACCAAAGGAAGUGGAAGUCAGCUACGAGUCGUUGAUGGAGGAAGUGCAGUCGGGUUCAGUGGGAGAGCAGCAGCAGGUGCAGAGUGUGCAGACAAGUACAGAGGACAGUGUACCAAAGGAGAUGGAGGAAUGUAAGACGGUGGGAGAAAUGGGAGAACCAAAGGAAGUGGAAAUCAGCUACGAGUCGGUGGAGGAGGAAGUGCAUUCGGGUUCAGAGGGAGAGCAGGUGCAGAGUGUGCAAACAAGUACAGAGGACAGUGUAACAAAGGAGAAGGAGGAAUGUAAGACAGUGGGAGAAAUGGGAGAACCAAAGGAAGUGGAAAUCAGCUACGAGUCGGUGGAGGAGGAAGUGCAGUCGGGUUCAGAGGGAGAGCAGCAGCAGAGUGUGCAGACAAGUACAGAGGACAGUGUACCGAAGGAGGAAUGUAAGACAGUGGGAGACAUGGGAGAACCAAAGGAAGUGGAAGUCAGCUACGAGUCAUUGAUGGAGGACGUGCAGUCGGGUUCAGAGGGAGAGCAGGUGCAGUGUGUGCAGACAAGUACAGAGGACAGCGUACCAAAGGAGAUGGAGGAAUGUAAGACAGUGAGGGACAUGGGAGAACCAAAGAAAGUGGAAAUCAGCUACGAGUCGGUGGAGGAGGAAGUGCAGUCGGGUUCAGUGGGAGAGCAGCAGCAGGUGCAGAGUGUGCAGACAAGUACAGAGGACAGUGUACCAAAGGAGAGGGAGGAAUGUAAGACAGUGGGAGAAAUGGGAGAACCAAAGGAAGUGGAAGUCAGCUAUGAGUCGUUGAUGGAGGAAGUGCAGUCGGGUUCAGAGGGAGAGCAGCAGCAGGUGCAGAGUGUGCAGACAAGUACAGAGGACAGUGUACCAAAGGAGAGGGAGGAAUGUGA